GACGAACGCUGGCGGCGUGCUUAACACAUGCAAGUCGAACGGUAAGGCCCUUCGGGGUACACGAGUGGCGAACGGGUGAGUAACACGUGGGUGAUCUGCCCUGCACUUCGGGAUAAGCCUGGGAAACUGGGUCUAAUACCGGAUAGGACCACUGCCUGCAUGGGUGGUGGUGGAAAGCUUUUGCGGUGUGGGAUGGGCCCGCGGCCUUUCAGCUUGUUGGUGGGGUGAUGGCCUACCAAGGCGACGACGGGUAGCCGGCCUGAGAGGGUGACCGGCCACACUGGGACUGAGAUACGGCCCAGACUCCUACGGGAGGCAGCAGUGGGGAAUAUUGCACAAUGGGCGCAAGCCUGAUGCAGCGACGCCGCGUGAGGGAUGACGGCCUUCGGGUUGUAAACCUCUUUCAGCACCGACGAAGCGCAAGUGACGGUAGGUGCAGAAGAAGCACCGGCUAACUACGUGCCAGCAGCCGCGGUAA
rnacentral:rRNA from 1 species